CUGAGAGAGAGAGAGAGAACGAGAUGGCAGUAGGCCUCUCAUCGAAAAAUCAACGUGUUUGUCAGUUGCCUGACAGCGGUACAAUAUAGAGGAAGCUGUAAAUUAACGAGAUCGAUUUAAAAAGAGAGCAAGCUUAUUGCGAAAGUACGGCAGAGUUUAUUAAAGAGCGUGGCUUUACUAUGGAUAGGCAAAAUGAUCGUUUUGAGCGAGUUAAUACUUAUAUUUAUAUGGAUAUUCACGUAUUUCCCAUACGUAAUAUACGCGGUGUAGAGUAUGGAUGCCAUUUAGUAAUUUAUUAUUAAUCAACUGUUCAGCAUUUGUAAAACUGGGAUGGAAAAGGAUGAUUUCGAAUGGAAUAUCUUAGACAGAAGCGAAGCUGGUUUGUUUUUGUUUAAUAAUUAAAAAC